rnacentral:rRNA from 1 species
AGCGAACGCUGGCGGCAGGCCUAACACAUGCAAGUCGAACGAACCCUUCGGGGUUAGUGGCGGACGGGUGAGUAACACGUGGGAACGUGCCUUUAGGUUCGGAAUAACUCAGGGAAACUUGUGCUAAUACCGAAUGUGCCCUUCGGGGGAAAGAUUUAUCGCCUUUAGAGCGGCCCGCGUCUGAUUAGCUAGUUGGUGAGGUAAUGGCUCACCAAGGCUACGAUCAGUAGCUGGUCUGAGAGGAUGACCAGCCACAUUGGGACUGAGACACGGCCCAAACUCCUACGGGAGGCAGUAGUGGGGAAUCUUGCGCAAUGGGCGAAAGCCUGACGCAGCCAUGCCGCGUGGAUGAUGAAGGUCUUAGGAUUGUAAGAUCCUUUCACCGGUGAAGAUAAUGACUGUAGCCGGAGAAGAAGCCCCGGCUAACUUCGUGCCAGCCGCCGCGGUAAUAC